UAAAUAUAUUAAUAAAUAGACAUUACUCGAUAACCUGCGCGUUAUCCGACACAAGUAAUAAAUAUAUCAUCCCUUAGUUGCAGCGACGAAUGCAGC